rnacentral:pre_miRNA from 1 species
GUGAUCCCUAGAGUUCCCUUGACCACUUCAUUAGGAAUUAAUUACUUCAUUUUUAAUGUUCUACUGAAGUGUUUUGGGGGAACUCCCGGGUUCAC